AGAAUCAAUACAAAUUAAUACUUGUAGGUACCUAAUUUUUUUCUUCAAGCUCUAAGAAAUAUAGUUAGUCACAUUCAUGUCAAAAUUAAUUAAUAACAAACAUAGGGCAUUAAUUUUGAGACAGUCAGCUUGAAAGAGAUAACUCAUUGCAAAAACUUGAAAAUAGCAGAUUUUGACAGAUUAAAUCCAUUUUGCAACUUAAAAGUACAUCAAAAAUUGUAACAAACUUUAUUAAAUAUAAAACCAGGAUGACAUAGAACUAGUGAUCUGUCCUUCAUUUUGUAGCAAGCAUCUUCUAGUUAGUGAUGAAAACAUUUAAAGUAAUUUUAGCUGUCCAUCUAUUUAGUAUUUGGAACCCGUAAAACAUAAAGUGGUGGUAUAUCAGGAAAAAGAAAAUGAAAUGGAUACUAAACUUAUUGAAACAUUUAGAAAAGCAGCUGCAACUUGGUACUGCAAAAGUAAAAAUUUGCCAAGGAGAUAUAACAACUGGAGCAUUCAAUAUAUUGAACAUGAAAAUGGGAAGGACAUCAAUACAGAAAUAUGCAGAGUAAGUUUAAUUAA